rnacentral:ncRNA from 1 species
GCGGAGCCGCGCGACUGGCGAUGCGGCCCCCUCGCUCCCUGAACCGGGAACUCGAGCCGGGGCCUGAGGUGGAUGACCACCGGGAAGCGCGGUCGGUGCCAGCCGGGAGAGCGGGCACCGUUCAGCCGUUCGCCUGGGCAGCUUCG